rnacentral:rRNA from 1 species
UACGUAGGGUGCGAGCGUUGUCCGGAAUUAUUGGGCGUAAAGAGCUUGUAGGCGGUCUGUCGCGUCUGCUGUGAAAUCCCGAGGCUCAACCUCGGGUCUGCAGUCGAUACGGGCAAACUGGAGUGUUGCAGGGGAGACUGGAAUUCCUGGUGUAGCGGUGAAAUGCGCAGAUAUCAGGAGGAACACCGGUGGCGAAGGCGGGUCUCUGGGCAACAACUGACGCUGAGGAGCGAAAGCGUGGGGAGCGAACAGG